GUUUUCCCCCUGGACUAGCCAGGAGGGUUUUUCUUCUAGGGUUUUUUUCAUCCCCUGGAAAGUCCGCCACCUUUGGCUUAACUUACUACUUUACUGUAUACGUUACAUUAUUGAUAUGCUCGCUUUUCUAUGCUUUUCCUACAUCUUUUAAUGUAAGGCUGCUUUAAAAACAAUUAACAAUUGUGAAAAGCGCUAUAUAAAUAAAAUUAAAUUGAAUGGUUUCCCUAAAUUGGGAUGGUGGAGAAUGUUUUUAAAAUAUUCAUAAUUAAUUUAAUUAAUUAUUAACUAUCAUAAGCCCCUCCUUUAAAAUCGCUACAAUGCCAACAGCGUUCGCACACACCAUCAUCUUUUAUUCUAUUAUUUUUCUUUUCUUCAAAGAACAGAAAGCUAAGAACCAUUUAAUUUACCCAAAAUGUGUAUUUCCUGUUUAUUUCAUUGUUUUCUUGUUGUUUGUUCUAACUUCGUUUGCAAUGGUGGAUCUGAUAUUUUUCUAUUCUAAUUUCUAAAUGUCCCGUAAACAGCGUGAAUCAUUGCUGCCCUGCCGGCCUGUUGGAGUAAUCAUUUGCUUGUGCAUGUGUCAACUGCUCAUAUACGUGGUUGAGUAUACUUUGGAAGUAUACCUCACUUUCGGUCUGGCUAGAAAUACCUUGUGGAAUUUUGUAUUUGUAUCCUUACAGAUGUGCCACCACAAAUAAACUGUAAGUCUGUGGGAAACAAUGAUUUGUCUUUGUUGCAUGCAAAAAAAGGUAACACAAGUUGUGGUCAGUAGUGAAUACUUGUCAGAUUUCCAUAAGGGACAAAUCGUGGAAACUCAUUUAGCUAAAGCAUCUGUAACAUUAACAGCACUGUUUGUUUCAAGAGCCACUGUCUUCCUAAUUAUGAGAAUAGUGAGAAGCAGGUUCCCUACUCCAGCCUCUCUAAAAAUAUGGUCAUAUAGACACUAUUAAAAAGUGUAAAUCUAUUGCUAGAAGGUUUGCGGCUGUAUUAAAGGCAGGAGCAAAACUGCCAACUCUUUAUUAAUUAAAAAGAUAUCAGCUAUUUUCCUGGGCCCGUAUUCACAAAGCAUUUUAUCUUACCACUAAGAGUACUCAUAAAUCGGACUAAAAGAUUUUAGCUAGGAGUUUUCUCUUAAAAGUAAUUCACAACGCCUUUCAGACCUAGUUUUAGUAAGGAAAAAUGAUAACUCCUAAACUAAGAGUGAGUCUUCGUUGCUACGGAUGACGUCAAUUCUCAUGCACGAGCUGCCUCACAAUGACCAUGGUGAUUGGUUCUUAGAUGACAGGGCUGUCAUGCCUAACAUAACACAGACGCACCAAAUCAUGGAAUUACAACAUCGGAAUAUGUCUGUGUCCUACACAAAUUAUAGUAAUGCCAUCGAAAUGCAUAUAGAAAAGUCGUGAAUGAAAUUAAAUUAAAUCAAGGUAGAAUACCCAAAUGAAAACCGCCAAUUGCCUAAUAAUAAAAAACGACAUUGCAUUAACACUUGCUUGAUUAAUUGACAUCCUAUUAGCCUAAAUAGAUUACUUAAAGCAAGGAAAUGUUGCCCAUAUUGAAGAAGCCUAAUGUAAUAAAUACGGUGGAUUAUGAACUCGCCAAAACGGAAAAGAAAGCCCAAAUGGAUGCAGGAUCAGUUACUGCUGCUGGCCCAGUUGGUGCUGGAUAAAAAAAACCGUAAUAAAAGGGAAAGUCGGCACUGAGAUAUCAAGCAAAACUAAGGGUGAGACAUGCGAGACAAUUAUGCGCGGGUCAAUGUACAAAACGACCGGCACCCGACCAACGUUUUCAACUAACCCGCCCGCAAGUCGGACCGCAAAAAAUAAAAAAUAAAUAGUGUACCCGACCCGCUCCCUGGCCCGCAUUUUUUAAAGUAGUGAUUGUUUAAAAUAGUUAACUGCAAUCUUUAUUUCAAACGACCCGACCGACCGCGACCCGAAUAUCAUAAAAAAUAUUUUUGGAUGACUCAUUUCGGAUCAACCCGCGCAUCACUGAUGGGAGAGGAUUUGUUGCGGAUCAAUGCAGCAUUCCCGCUUGUGUCGCGGACCCCGGACGACUGCGAGAGGCGGUGGUAUGCAUUACAAUCGCAGUAGAGGGUUGAGAUUGCAGCCUUUAACAGACUAGCAUGGCAACAGGUAUGCCUAUAAUAUUAAAUAUUUAAUUUCAUUAUUGUUUCAUGUAAUUCAAAAAAACUUCCUGCUUGUCAUGAAUGUAAUGAAUUAUGUCAUAAACAAUAUGCUUACAUUAAAGUGUGCUUUUAAGUGUUAUGUGCAAUGCUUUUGAGUUGGUGAAACUGUCCAUGUUAAGGAGGAUCAGCACCUAAGGAAUUUUAAGAUCCUUUGUGAAUAGGUUUUAGGGAGUUAGGAGUCCUCUCGACUUCUUUUAAGCUGUCCCAGACUUAGGUGCUACUUUUAGGGCUAAAAUGCUUUGUGAAUUACUCUUAGUGAAAAAAAUUAGGAGUCCUAAAUUUAGGAGUGACACGCCCAGUAUUUUUAGGAGUUGCUCCUAAAUUCGCCAGUUAGGAGCUACUUUUAGCCUUAAAAUUCUUUGUGAAUACGGCCCCUGGUGUUCACAAUACUUUGUCCAAACCCAAUAUACCCGAAUAUAAGACGACCCCCUAUCAGACUUAUUUUUGGGAAAAAGAGAUUUUGGGGGAAAAAAUCUGGUUUUCAACAGAAAAUAAUUUUAUUUGAAAAUUCUAGUGAUAAUUAAUCGGAAAAACAUUUCAACACCUUUCAUUAAAUAUUUGGAUUAAUUUGUCACAAAAUAAAGUGCACUCUGCCAAUGAAUGAGUACAGAAAUGCAAGAAUUAUGUAGGCCCAUGUAUGAAUGUAAUGUGGUACUGUGAAGAUAGAUAGAAAAUAACCAUCUGCUUUUAAUCAAACACAUCUAACCUAUCGUGUUGGGGCCCUCUACUGUUUGCUCCUGCUUUCUCCCUUUCCCUCGUGAUUUUGUCUAUAUUGUGAAUAAGAUGACCCCUACAUUUUUCAGCCAAUUUUUAAUAUAAAAACAUAGUCUUAUAUUCGGGUAUAUACGGAACUGUAUAUAUCUGCAUAUGCCAGUAAAAAGUAAAAUCUGAUUACUGGGCUAGUUUUAGACUUCAAUCACACUCACUACAGGAUCAGUUGGAUGGAAAAUGUUGAAAAGCCGCUGACAGAUGGAUUUAGGUAAUAUGUGGUCCUGUGUGCUAUUUGAUCCGGGACGAACACCACGCAAAGCCAAGAAAACAGCCAGAGGAGACCCCAUGCAGAAGAAGUUCUCCACCUAUCGCAUCAAAGUUCACAAAUAUCAUAAAAAUUAGACUUGCAUAACCAGACUUAAUUGAAAGGAAGGAUACAUACAAGGAUACAAGGAUUACAAACAAACCUUGAAUUUCAGUUCUGGAGAGGCUCUUGAGGAUGAUGUUUGAAAAUGCUGAAGCUGAUCUUCUAAAUCUCUCAGUCUGGAAAAUAAACAUUCGGCGAAUCAAUUAAAUCAAACUUUUAAAACAAACAACCAAAACAUAAAAAAACUUUCAUUCUAUCUUCAUUUGUUUCUUUUUUAUAACCUCUAAAAUACAGGUAUGUUUCUUCAAAAGUAAUUGCAUAAUUAGAGGAGUAAAGUACUUGAGUAAUUUUACUUGAUUAGUGUACUUAAGUAUUAGCCUGGCUCCGCCCUCCUACGUGCUUCCGCUUAAUUUUCCUUUCGCUUCAGCAGUACGUCUGGGACUGCUCUGUAGAGUUUCGUUUUCUCCUGCAAAAAUCUGCAGGACCAAUCAGUGAACAGAUGGGGUGGUUAAGAACGAUGACGUUGAGGUCAUGCGUCAGUUUGAGUUGUGGUUCAGUAAUAGCAGCAGAGAAAGACGUGAGAAAAGCUAUUCGGUUCGUUGUUGCAAAACUGCCGCAUAUACAAAAGUUAAAGCCGGAGCAAGAACCAGGUUUGCUAAGUUUUGUUUGUCUGAUUAUUCUGACUUGUUGUUUCUGGACUGUUUCGAUGCAUGAUAUACGUCACGACCACACAUUAGCGAUUGGCUUUGGCAAAUCCUGAGUGACUCUGGGCAGAUGCAAUAAUUUUAAAAUUCAACAAUGGACCCUCCUUAACGGAAGUAACGCUUUGCAAUGGAGCGUGCCCUGACUCUCUGUAAAAAUAAAAUGAAUGUACGAGAGUCUGUUUGGACCAGGCUACUUAAGUAUUUUUUGGGGGGAUUUUUACUUUACUUGAGUACAAUUAAAACACAAUACUUUUACUUUUACUUAAUUAUUAAUUUUUUAAGAAAAUAAAGUACUUUUUACUCCUUAAAAUUUUAUUUACAGUGAAAAAGUAGUUAUGUUUUAGAGAUCAAUUCAUUCUAUUUUCCCUUGCUCUUACCAAAACAACUGAAUUGUGCUGAUGGCCAGUUUAACUUAAAGAGCACCUAUUAUGGGAUACAUGUUUUUAAACAUCCUUUUGUGUGUAAGUGUGUAUUAGUACAUGCUAACGAUAUUCAAAAAGUACAUACCUCAAAGAAAACGAUGACGCGAGUUAUCGUCUCUAACGUUCGAGGACUACAAAAAACACUUGGAUUGUAGGCAACAGUUUACUUCCUGGGAUUAGUGACGUAGAUAAGACCAACAUUAUCAUAGUUCAGCCCUCUCUGCUUUGCUUGGGUACGCCCUCAAAGACGGGGGUGGGGAGCGCCGAGUCAGAAGAGAGCUAAAAUGGCGAAGGUUGUGAGUCCCUGCUUUGACUCUGUUUGCAAACUCUUGUUUCAUCGUUUAAGUGAUUAAAUCUCUCGAGUAGACGCUGUCUUUUUAGAUGCGAGGGCAAAAUAGCACUUUAUGGACUUCCACAGAGGACAUCAUGUUUAAUACGGUUCUGGAAAAAUCCAGUCAGAAGUUGUUCACGGAGUUUUCACAAUAACUGCUUCUCAUGAACCGAAGCUGGAUUUGCGCGACGUCUCCUCCUGAAAGUUGGAUUACUGUGCACUUCUGGAUCACAGGCUGUAAGUAUUCACGUUUAUUAUUUGCCUUUUACUGUACAUUACGUAACCGGUAACCGGAGAUUAACAUAAUGUGCGUGUAGAGCUAAGCUUGCAAGCUAAUUGUUUUGUGUUGUAAUACUGUAUUUCAUAAACAACGUACCAUAUUUACACACGUGUAUGUUGAAUUAUGCAGACUAUCGUUUUUUUUAUCGAUGUUGGUUUAGACAUGUUUACAAACUUGCUAAGUUGCUAAGCUAAAUACAAAUACAAAUACCAGCUAAACUGUUACCGGUAAAAUUUGUUCUCAUGAUCAAACUCAAGAAACUCUAAGUACAGAUGAUUUGUUUAAAGUUAUAUGUAUUUUACUGUUGUAUUUACUUGAAGCUUUCUUAGAUUUUGAAAUGAAGUAAACAUGUAAUGUGUGUUGCUAAUGUUGGGCCAUGUAAUGUGUAAUACAUUUACGUUUUAAUGAAUAGUCUAACGAUUUAUAGUCGUUGUACUCUAUUGUUAUAAUAUGUCUUUUUGACUGAAUACAUGUUUGUUUUAUUUGUCUAUAUCCUAGAUUCGCAGCUGGACACAUCCUUCUUCACUGUAUGCAAACAUGCAACAUCAUUACACACAGUACAAGGAGUCAGACUGGCAUAUGAGGAGCAAAGGAACCCAGGCAGUAGCAUCGUUUCACAAUGUUUCCAUCACCAUCAUCAGUGGAUGCCUUUGCCGUCCGUAGCCUGAGAUUUCAGAUUUGCAGCAAAAAAAAAAUGUAUUUUCUCAUUUAUUGGAAUGCUGUGCAGGUUGUACCUUGCAGCCAUCCAUUACAAUGUCACCAAGCCGUAACAAAAGCAGGAGAGGGAAAGUACAAGGCUAUGUUCCCAAAACACACAAGUGACAUACCUUAUGUGGAUGAUGUGAUCAGGCUUGUGUUUGAUGAGGUAUUUGAAGAUAAGCUGAAGGAAACCCCGAUUCCAAUGGGCCUGGCAUCACAGUUUGAGACACCUUCAAAGGAGGACGUGAUUGCAUGCCAUCUUCAGUGCA